UUUUUUGGCAGAACUGCUGCUUGAAGUCUCUUGGUCUGCAUUGCAGAUUGAUGCAGCUGAGUGCCUCUGUUGCAUGUGUUGUUUUCUGUGUGCCACUUGAACAGUCCCAUUUGUUUUGGAGUAUUUCUUUGAUUUAUGAGGAAUUUACAGCACCUUCAAGCCAGGUUUGUCUGCAGCUCUCAUAAGCACGUAUGCUACUACUCAUCUGUCUGAGGGAAUGAUUUGGAAUGCAGUGUCUGGUUGCUGUGUGACCCCUGAGAACUGCUCUACCUUUUUAACCAGAUUUUGGAAUGCUUCAGCACGUUAUUGCAUACUAUGUUCAACAAGAACACAGCAAGAAAUACACCAUCUAUCAAGUAGUGCUGCAAGAUCAAAACGCUGCGUUGUACAUCCGUCUUCUGAGAACUGAAUGAGAGGGAAGAGACCUGACGCAGAGCCGGACUGCUUAACGUGCUUCGGGGAGGUGCUCCGAUUGCAUGUCUGAUAGAAAAGCUAGACAGAACCCACAGAGAGUCUGUCAACAGUCUUAAUUUCAAACUGCAUUAAAUAAUUUGUGCUGGUGACUUACAGCUCAGCCCUGUGUUGCUGCUGAGUGUGAACUCGUGGCCUGCGUGACAAGGAUCAGAGGCAAGACCCCUGGCACUACAAGAUGUACUGACUUCACUGCUCUGCGAUGUGACGGUGCUGCAGUAAUUCUAGACUACUGGGCACGCAGCUAGGAAGCUGAGCCUGGCAUCAGCUGCCAGGGAAGUGAGGAGGAGGAAAAGAAACAGAUCCUAAAUUGCAAUCCCAGCAUUCCUGCAGCUAAAGAGUCUGUCAGCAGAGUAAAAAAAGCAACAAGCGGGGGAGAGAGGAAUAGACUUACCACUCCGCUCUUAAAGUUCUGUAUUCUCCUCUUGCCCAUUCUGUUCAUCAGCCACCAGGCCCAGGUGGGCGCGUACUGCCAGAGGUAGCAGACUGCCAGGUAGGGGUGGUCGCUGAUCCAGGCCUCCUUCAGGUCAUUGGCUGUGCUCACCAGCGUGAGCCGGACACAGCGCUCAGUUGGCAUCUUGUGGGACUGGUCACCACUGUUCUCUAUCGACUGGAGGAGAGAGAGAGAGGGCAGGAAUUAAAACUGGACUUCUGGUUGUGGCUGACAGAGGGAGAGAAAGGGCCAGGCUCUGUGCAGCAGACACGCUCUUCUUAACUUCUGCACUGUGCAAAUGAGGAAUAACCCAUCUCUCCCUGCUAAUCCACUGGCUUCCUGUGUAGGAACACUUAGCGCCUUCCUUUAGAUUAAAUAAAGUACCUUUUUAAUUAAUGCCUCCAUUGAUAGUUCAAAAAAGGUUAAAAAUGCCUCAAAAAUCUAUUCUGCUUUGGCAUGAAAUUACACUCAAGGAGACAUAUCAGGGCAAAUAACCCAUUCUGCAGCUGAGGGCUCUGAGAAAUGAAAACUUUCCUGUUCCCAGCUGCCUACCCCAUUAUACAUUACAAGUUAAUCUGUAAUCAAAUUAGUACGAGGACAUGUCCCCCAUUAACUUAAAACUUCCUGCCAGCUCUGCUCUGUGUGCAGUUAUCUCAAGAGAAGAGCAAUAGGCUUCUUCAGUGGCAGUGAUGUUUUGUUUGAUGUCUUCUCCACAGGUAUCCCAUAGUGAAAAUAAGCUGCAGCUCUGUGAAUUCAUACACAUCUUGCUCCAGCAGCCAUGGACUGCUCUAUCACUCUGUUCUUCUGUUUCCUGGAGCAAAAGCAAUUCUGGCU
rnacentral:lncRNA from 1 species